AUUGAACGCCGGCGGCAUGCUUUACACAUGCAAGUCGAACGGCAGCGCGGGCUUCGGCCUGGCGGCGAGUGGCGAACGGGUGAGUAAUGCAUCGGAACGUGCCCAGUAGUGGGGGAUAGCCCGGCGAAAGCCGGAUUAAUACCGCAUACGACCUGAGGGUGAAAGCGGGGGACCGAAAGGCCUCGCGCUAUUGGAGCGGCCGAUGUCGGAUUAGCUAGUUGGUGGGGUAAGGCGUACCAAGGCGACGAUCCGUAGCUGGUCUGAGAGGACGACCAGCCACACUGGGACUGAGACACGGCCCAGACUCCUACGGGAGGCAGCAGUGGGGAAUUUUGGACAAUGGGGGCAACCCUGAUCCAGCCAUGCCGCGUGCGGGAAGAAGGCCUUCGGGUUGUAAACCGCUUUUGUUCGGGAAGAAAUCCUCUGGGCUAAUACCCCGGGGGGAUGACGGUACCGGAAGAAUAAGCACCGGCUAACUACGUG
rnacentral:rRNA from 1 species